ACUCAAAUGAAUUGACGGGGGCCCGCACAAGCGGUGGAACAUGUGGUUCAAUUCGAUGCUACGCGAAAAACCUCACCAAGGCUUGACAUACAGCAAGUAGUGAACCGAAAGGGGAACGAGCCGUCAAGUCCGGCAAGCUGUACAGGUGCUGCAUGGCUGUCGUCAGCUCGUGUCGUGAGAUGUUGGGUUAAGUCCCGCAACGAGCGCAACCAUUGCCCGAUGUUGCCAUCAUGUUUUGUCGAAAGACAAGAUGUGAGCACUCUUCGGGGACUGCCUGGGAUAACCAGGAGGAAGGUGGAGAUGACGUCAAGUCAGUACGGCCCUUAUGCCUUGGGCUACACACGUGUUACAAUGGGUGAUACAAAGGGUUGCCAACCCGCGAGGGGGAGCUAAUCUCUAAAAAUCAUUCUCAGUUCAGAUCGGAGUCUGCAAUUCGACUCCGUGAAGCCGGAAUCGCUAGUAAUGGAAGAUCAGCACGCUUCCAUGAAUACGUUCCCGGGCCUUGUACACACCGCCCGU
rnacentral:rRNA from 1 species